CUUGAGUGCAGGAGAGGAGAGUGGAAUUCCUAGUGUAGCGGUGAAAUGCGUAGAUAUUAGGAGGCACACCAGUUGCGCAGGCCGCUCCCUGGCCUGUAACUGACGCUGCGGCACGAAAGCCUGGCGCGCAAACAGGAUUAGAUACCCUGGUAGCCCACGCUGUAAACGCUCAGUACUAGGUGUCGGGGGUUACCCCCUCCGGUGCCGCAGCUAACGCAUUAAGUACUCCGCCUACGCAGUACGCUCUCAAGAGCGAAACUCACCGGACUUGACGGGGGCGCGCCCCCGUCUCGGAGCAUGUGGUGUAAUUCAAAUCAACGCGAAGAACCUUACCUAAGCUAGACCUCCCACUGACAUCCCCUUCAUCAGAGAGUUCCCUGCGCUGACAUGUGUGACAGACUGUCCCUGGAGGUCGCAGAGCCGUGUCGUGGAUUGUGGG
rnacentral:rRNA from 1 species